UAUUUUUUAGUAAAUUUUGGGUAAUUUAUAUUUUUACAGGAAAUCAUCUGUUUGAGCUAAGUUUUUCUUUUGAAGUCAGCCUAGGACAAAUAGGAACCUACAAGAAAGAAUUUGUGAAGACAGAAAGAAUUAAAUUUCUAUAACAAGAACUCAGAGUCAAGGACAGGUAAAUAAAGAGGAACUUAAGAUUGUGGUAUGGUCCCAUAAAAAUAAAAAAGGUUAUUUUAAGCUCUUUGGGAGGGGGACAGUAAGAGGAUUAUCAAAGAAGAGACAGAUUACUUGUGACCAAUUAUAAUUUCCUUGUUUUUCUGCCAAGAAGAAUUAUCUUUAUUGUGGAAGUGACAGAACAAAAAUGAUUAAUGGGAAUUUGGCAACCAGCAUUUGUAAAGAAGCAUUUGGAGAUCCGACUCUGUUGAUGAGUUUAUGUGAGAUGAACCAAUUCUCAGGUAUUGAGGAAUUUGGAGACCAAAAGUUUCUAUCUGCUGAACUUUGUCUUUUUCUGAUCUACCUGCACUGCUUCUGAUUCAGGAAACUUUAGCCAGUAACUUCUUCGAGUUACACCCAGCAUGGACACUUCUCAGUUUUCCAGAGCUCCCCUUCUACAGAGGCUUGAAGGUUACUUCUGAGUCACUGGACACUUAUUGAACUAGGUGGCAUUAGAUAAAUAGACUGUUUCUUAAAUUGUUUAUUGUUCUUACAGAAUUUUUUACAGUCCUUGAGAACUACCUUCAGAUAGAAGUUAGUUCAUCCUUAAGGGACUGUUUGCAAGCUGUGAAGGCUUGGGUUAGUUCGUGGGUUUUGUCUUUUUCCUCUCGCAAACGUUUGUGGCCUUUAAAUAAAAAUCCACGUCGGCGUCGUAUGUGUCUGUCCCAAAAGUACUAUGGGUGACUGUAUAAUUCUGAAUUGUAAAGCUACUUAAAGGAGUCUCACCUUGAAAGUUGAGGGUCCUGAACGAUUUUUUGGCUUGCUCUUGCCAAGUCCACAAAAGAACUUCCUCAGACUAGACUUUACAGACAUUUUUUACUGUGCAUUUUUGGGCUUCGUCUGACUCCCCUCGGCCUCCAGGAUCUAGUGCUUGCUUCCAAGGAUCAUUGUAAGGAAUUGAGGAAUUCUGCAGACUAAAAGUUUCUACCCACUGACCUUUUGCCUUUUUCUGGUGAGUGUCCUCGCUUAUAAACACCCCUGAUCAAGUGGUGAGUUUGGGUCAAGCAAAAAAAACUAUUGGGUGUAUCUGACACAAUCAGCACAUUUCUGACCUUCUCAGGAUUAUGUAUUCAGUGCUACAAGUGGGGUUUGAGCCGAGGAAUGGCCAUUGAGACCCUCAAAUGGAGAAGCCAGGCUAAAGGUGGGGGUAGUGGAUGAGAGGACUCGGUCCCCAUUUGAUGGAUGGCAAGUCCCAGUCCCUUGGUGUGUUGUAGCUUGGUAGGAGACCCACUUGGCGGCUAAAGAUCCAUGCUUUUUACAGAUGGGAAAGGCCUAAUGGAUACAGCUACAGAGGAGUGUAAGAAGCAAGGGAUGAAAUAAGUGUCAUAAUAAUAGCUAAUAUUGAAGGUUAGUGUUAAGGUGUACCAAGUGCUUUUGCUAUAUAAUCUCAUAAUAUGAGCAUAGCUGUCCCUUAAAAUGUAUUGAAAAGCUUUUUAAAUCAUAAGUUGUCUCCCUUCCUCAUUUCUCUCCCCCCCUCAUUGGGAAGGCCAGCCGUUUGACUCUUUGUGUUUGAGCCUGAAGAACAGAUUGUGUCUGAACCUGUUCAGUCCCCCUUUGCCCCAGCCGCUCCUGAUCCUGCUGCAGUACUGCGAUCUGCAGGCCCGUCUGUUUUGUUGGCUAGUUAACCAGGAGGUUUGCAAACACAAGUAGGUUCUGUUGACAGCCUCUGACUUUUCUAGGAACUUUCUUGGGUGUUUUCAGGCAUCUAAGGAGGCAUGUGAUCAACAUGGUUUGAUCAAAUUAGCCAGAUGUAGACAACAGCUGGGCUUCUUCAUCACAUAGUCCUUUAAAAAGGAUGUGUCAAGGGUUCCGUUCAUACCUCACAGUGCAGCCCCAUAACUAGAGAACUCGGUAAAACUGCUGGAUGUCAAGCUCCUUUCCGGGUCUGGGGGUCAGGGGGAGUUGGGGGUUCACAGGCCUUGUGCUGGUGCUGAAGGGGAGGAGGAAUGUAAUAAAAUAAGCUUGAAAAGAAUGAGUUCAAGGAAGGAUCCCCAUUGCGUUGGGCAGUGGAGAAAAGGAGGUAUCAUCACGUCACUUUUAGAAUCAGACUUUAUAAGUGAAAGGAAAGGUAAAGUUUUGAGAUAAGUUUGGGCAUUACAAAGAGCAUGGCAUCCCUUAAAGGAAGGUUUAUUGCUGAAAAAGAAGAAAACUACAGUGUCUUAACAUUUCAGUCCUUUCUUUACAGAUCUACCUGCACUGCUUCUGAUUCAGGAAACUUUAGCCAGUAACCUCGAGUUACACCCAGCAUGGACACUUCUCAGUUUUCCAGAGCUCCCCUUCUCCAGAGGCUUGAAGGUCACUUCUGAGUCACUGGACACUUAUUGAACUGGGCCGCAUUAGAUAAAUAGAGUGUUUCUUAAAUUGUUCAUUGUUCUUACAGAAUUUUUUACAGUCCUUGAGAACUCCCUUCAGGUAGAAGUUAGUUUCACCCUCAAGGGAGUAUUUGCAAGCUGUGAAGGCUUGGGUUACUUGGAGGGUUUUGUCUUUUUCCUCUCACAAAUGUUUGUGGCCUUAGAAAAAAAUCCACGUCAGAGUGGUAGGUGUCUGUCCCAAAGGUACUGUGUGUGACUGUAUAAUUCUGAAUUGUAAAGCUACUUAAUGGAGUCUUGCCUUGAAAGUUGAGGAUCCUGAACAAUUUUUUGGCUUCCUCUUGCCAAGUCC